CGCUUAGUCACUUUUUUGAAUUGGACAUAGUUUUUCAAGAUUUUAUGUGUAAAUUAAAAGUAAUUAUUUUCAUUGAAUAUUUAAAAAAAAGGUUAACAUCGUUGAAUUUGAAAUGCACGGCUAAAUUAGGAUAAAAGCUCUUCUUUGUACUAAAAUAUUUAAGUCACUUUAUUAUACAACUUUCUAUAAAAGCUCAUUAAAUUAGGAUAAAAGCUCUUCUUUGUACUAAAACAUUUAAGUCACUUUAUUAUACAACUUUCUAUAAAAGCUCAUUGAAAUAGGAUAAAAGCUUUUAAAGUUAUUUGUACUAAAAAGUUAAGGUGAAACAUAGAUGGCCCAAAGGAGUCGAAAAUAUGAACUGUGGUUGACUCGUCUAAAUUUUUAGUUUUGUAUUAGUAAAUGUCAAAUUACAUGAUCAGUAAAAUUUUACGUUCGAUCAAGUUUCGUAGAAUAGAUUCAGCCAUUACCAAAUCUGAUCGGCAAGUGAGCAGACAGUUAGUUUCGGUGAUAGUGCUUUCAAUUUUUUCAAUCUAAGUUAUUAAAAAUAGUUCCGGAUUUAUUUUAUCACUGGGAACGGAAACUCUGCUCAUCUGUGCAGUUCUAAAUCUGUACAAAAGCGUCCAACGGACGCUUUUUUGUACGGGCUUCAAGCCCGCAGCUACACACUCCGCCAUUUUGAACAUCCACACGACCACGUGGGACAUUUCCGAGGACGCUCGCUCAUCCAGGCCCGCCACAGAGCUGGCAGUCAAACGGGUGGAGAGGAUUGUCUGGCCUGCCCGCAUUCUGAGAGGAGUGAUCGGGUAGCGUACUUGGACCUGCCGAAACCCUUCCCCGCACCUUUAUUCCGGCCAUCAGUGAUUCGAGCUUCUUUUCCGAGCCGUCCCUCGAAGGAACGGGAUCCCGCCGGCCCCGGCGGCAAACCCUUGCUCCGCCGCUGCGCUCGCCAAGAACAUCGCACUCCGUCCGUGCACCCCUCGUCAGCUGACAGCAUAAGUUAAACCCUGCGCAGGUAUGUCCUCAUAAUCAUGGCCAUGAACACACUACACAACACACACUCACACACUCUCACACUGGAUGCUUAAAACGAAAAAAUGAAUUAAUACAUAAAAAUGAAUUCAAACUCAACA